CGGGGCGUAGCUCAGCUUGGCUAGAGCGCUUGAAUGGGGUUCAAGAGGUCGCAGGUUCAAAUCCUGUCGCCCCGA
rfam:Planctomycetes bacterium SM23_65 WORSMTZ_17471, whole genome shotgun sequence.